rnacentral:rRNA from 1 species
UGAGUACGAGCUGCUACGGCAGCGAAGUGGGUGACGUCAAGCUUCCAAGAAAAGCCCUAUACCCGUUAAGGCAUGAUGGCCUGUACCCGAAACCGACACAGGUGGGGUGGUAGAGAAUACCGAGGGGCGCGAGAUAACUCUCUCUAAGGAACUCGGCAAAAUGGCCCCGUAACUUCGGGAGAAGGGGUGCCACCGCAAGGUGGUCGCAGUGAAGAGGCCCAGGCGACUGUUUACCAAAAACACAGGUCUCCGCUAAGUCGCAAGACGAUGUAUGGGGGCUGACGCCUGCCCAGUGCCGGAAGGUUAAGGAAGCUGGUCAGCGUAAGCGAAGCUAGCGACUGAAGCCCCGGUGAACGGCGGCCGUAACAAUAACGGUCCUAAGGUAGCGAAAUUCCUUGUCGGGUAAGUUCCGACCCGCACGAAAGGCGUAACGAUCUGGGCGCUGUCUCGGAGAGAGGCUCGGCGAAAUAGAAUUGUCUGUGAAGAUGCGGACUACGUGCACCCGGACAGAAAGACCCUAUGAAGCUUUACUGUAGCUUGGUAUUGUGCUCGGGCUCGGAAUGCGCAGGAUAGGUGGGAGGCUAUGAACCAUUGCUUGUGGGUGAUGGUGAGCCACUGGUGAGAUACCACUCUUUCCGAGCUAGAGUUCUAACAGCCACCCGUUAUCCGGGGGCUGGACAGUAUCAGGUGGGCAGUUUGACUGGGGCGGUCGCCUCCUAAAAGGUAACGGAGGCGCGCAAAGGUUUGCUCAGGCUGGUUGGAAAUCAGCCGACGAGUGUAAAAGCAGAAGCAAGCUUGACUGUGAGACCUACAAGUCGAACAGGGAGGAAACUCGGCUUUAGUGAUCCGACGGUUCUGCGUGGAAGGGCCGUCGCUCAACGGAUAAAAGUUACUCUAAGGGUAACAGGCUGAUCUCCCCCAAGAGUUCACAUCGACGGGGAGGUUUGGCACCUCGAUGUCGGCUCAUCGCAACCUGGGGCUGAAGUCGGUCCCAAGGGUUGGGCUGUUCGCCCAUUAAAGCGGUACGCGAGCUGGGUUCAGAACGUCGUGAGACAGUUCGGUCCAUAUCCGGUGCAUGCGCAGGAAUAUUGAGAGGAUUUCUCCCUAGUACGAGAGGACCGGGAGGAACGCACCUCUGGUGUACCAGUUAUCGUGCCAACGGUAAACGCUGGGUAGCCAUGUGCGGAGAGGAUAACCGCUAAAAGCAUCUAAGUGGGAAGCCCACCUCAAGAUGAGUAUUCCCAUGGGUUAACCCGGUAAGGUCACGGGAAGAACACCCGUUGAUAGGCUCUACGUGGAAGCGCAGUAAUGUGUGAAGCGGAGGAGUACUAAUAGACCGAGGGCUUGACC